GGCCCCAGGAGGAAGGGGGGACUGUUAGCAGCAUAGGAUUGAGGGGUUGGAAGAGACUUUUAGAACAGCUGGUUGUUAUGCCAACCGGGUGUCUGCACUAAGUUCAGCAUCAAUAUAAUGACCUCCCGGGAGCAGGGGGCCACCAGGUUGCCUAAGGAUGAGUGAACUGGCCCAGAUCAGAAAGGGAGCAGGUCAGAACUCCCGCACCAACCGGUAGUGUGACUGUGCCUGGGCAAUAUAGAAGAUCUUGGAUCUUAUAGGAAAAAUAAAGAACAGCAGCUCAUUCCC
ensembl:misc_RNA Metazoa_SRP Metazoan signal recognition particle RNA